GGGAAUAGCUCAGUUGGUAGAGCACAAGCUUCCCAAGCUUGGGGUCGCGAGUUCGAUUCUCGUUUCCC
rnacentral:tRNA from 1 species